rnacentral:lncRNA from 1 species
CCCUUAGACACAAUUUAAGCUAUCAAAAAAAUGCAAAUUUUAAAAACAAUAAUUUGCUUUUAGAAAAGAAGCUGAUGCAAAAUUAAGAUAAACAAAAUGGAAAUCCUAGCAAAGCAACUAACAAUCAUCAAUCUCAAUUUCAUUGACAUGUUACAAUCGCAAAGAAGAAAAACCGCAAUAAAAUAAUUGAUAGUCACGAGAACACAAGAAUUGAUCGCUUUAGAACGAUUCUAUUUUCUAAAAUCACUAUAGAAAGUUCGCAAUAUUUGGAGAACCUUAGCAAGCGUAGUUAACAAAAAAUGAUGAAUAUUCAAAUAAAAAUAAAAAAAGUGAAAAAAGUUAAACCUAGGGAGCAACAAUUAAAAGGCUAGAUGAUAAAGAGAUUGCUGUUGAAGGAGAGCCUGUUGCAUCAACGCUUGCUGCUGCUACUUCAGCAUUUGGUUCUCCAUUUUUUAAAUGAUCGUGAUUUUACUCGAUCGAAAGGGAUAAGUACUCUUAGGGUUCGAAAAUUGAUUAGGAAUUGUUUAGAGAGAAAACGAAAUGGGCCUCAAAGAAAAAGAAAGAAAAAAGAAAGUAAUUUCGAGGAGAAGGAAAGCGUUUUUUACUGAACGAAGUUUG